GACGGGAGCAGCCACAUUCCAGAACAUUCUGGAACGUCGCUUGCUGCCAUGCCUGGAAGAAAAUAAGAGCUUUGGAGGGUCUGGCACGCACAGUUAAAUGCUCUAGCCUGGGAAUGACGUGUCAGUUUCGCUCACAGCUCAUUGGUUACAGCUGGUCACAUGACCUCGUUCACACAAAGCAGGCAGGAAGUAAGUACAGUUAGUUCUACCUUGUGCCCAGAAAGGGGAGCGCAGGGAAUGAAUGCUCCGACAGCUAACAGGGUGCUGUGACAAUGAAGAAGGGUGACCCCACUCAGGUGCCUCUUUGACACUGGUUGAGCAGGACCAAGAUGGAUCAGUGGCUGGAAGCCUGGAACAUAUGCGACAGGUGUGCGCCACGUGCGGGCCAGUCAUUGUUUAACCGUCUAGAACUCAAUGCAAAGAAGAACUGUCCAUGGCUGCAGCGGAACACAGAUCACAAAGCCCAUGCAGGCGCUGUGUGGCCCAGAGGUCUUGUCAACUCCAAGAAGGGCUCGCUCUGUACCGCUGCAACCUCAUCUUAACCGGUGACAUCUGCGACGACCCUAUUUCCAAAUGAGGUCACGGCGAGUUCCGAGGCUCCAGUGGCUGGGUGGAGACAAAGGACUAGCUGGAGCGGGACGGAGAGAGGACGAGAGGAGAGUAGCUGGACCAAGUGCCAACUCUAGGGAUGUCAGCUGGGAAAGCGACUGUUUCGCAGCCAUCCCUUGGUACACGUGGGGCGCUGGUUCCAGGACCCCGUGCAGAUGCCCAAAGCCAUGGAUGCUCCAGCCCCUUGUAUGAAAGGGCGUAGG